rnacentral:lncRNA from 1 species
AGCAGCUCUGGAAAAGGCUGACCUGAGAUCUUCCUGUUGCCACAGGUGGGGAUCCGUUCCUCUCAGAGGCCCUGUUCCUACAGACACACUGUGAAGGUGUCUUGAGCACAGGUCAUCACCCUCUUUUGGAUCUUCGAGAGAACCUGGCCACUGUAAUGCACCUGAGAGGUUGAAAGCCCUGUCUUUAACAGGACGAUGAGUCAGGGCACAGCAGUGUAAGCCCGUCAUUGGGGAACAUGCCAAAGAAUAUCCAGAAGAGAUCCCUAAAGCAGAACAUUUCAAGAGUCCUAGGUAUCCACUUGCAAUAGGAGGAGCCUCAAUCCAUCUGAGGACAACAUUACCAGGAAGAGAAUGAUGCACACAACAGAGAUGAAGUCUGUGAGUGGUUUCCAGGUGGGAGAGGUGUAACAGAAAAGCCAGCCUCCUGGUCAGGGUUCGUCUAGCUCUGAGGAAAAAGCUCGAGGACUGUGGCUGAGAAGGAAGGAGCCUCUAGGGCUGGACACAGAUGUCUAAUGUGAGCUUGAAGUGCUUCGUGAAGCUUGAGGGUAAGGCCUGACCUGCAACCUGCCCCGCUGCAGCUCAG